GACGGAGGGGGCUAGCGUUGUUCGGAAUGACUGGGCGUAAAGGGCGCGUAGGCGGCUUAUCAAGUCAGGUGUGAAAGCCUUGGGCUUAACCCAAGAACUGCGCUUGAUACUGAUAGGCUUGAGGAUGAUAGAGGAAAGCGGAAUUCCUAGUGUAGAGGUGAAAUUCGUAGAUAUUAGGAAGAACACCAGAGGCGAAGGCGGCUUUCUGGAUCAUAUCUGACGCUGAGGCGCGAAAGGCGUGGGAGCAAACAGG
rnacentral:rRNA from 1 species